rnacentral:rRNA from 1 species
UACGUAGGUGGCAAGCGUUGUCCGGAUUUACUGGGCGUAAAGAGCGCGCAGGCGGUCGCUCAAGUCGCGUGUGAAAGCCCCCGGCUCAACUGGGGAGGGUCACGCGAUAUUGAUCGACUGGAAGGCAGGAGAGGGUAGUGGAAUUCCCGGUGUAGUGGUGAAAUGCGUAGAUAUCGGGAGGAACACCAGUGGCGAAGGCGACUACCUGGCCUGUUCUUGACGCUGAGGCGCGAAAGCAUGGGGAGCGAACAGG